rnacentral:rRNA from 1 species
CCUACGGGAGGCUGCAGUGGGGAAUAUUGGACAAUGGGCGAAAGCCUGAUCCAGCCAUGCCGCGUGUGUGAAGAAGGCCUUCGGGUUGUAAAGCACUUUCAGUGGGGAAGAAAGCCUUGGGGCUAAUACCCUCGAGGAAGGACAUCACCCACAGAAGAAGCACCGGCUAACUCCGUGCCAGCAGCCGCGGUAAUACGGAGGGUGCGAGCGUUAAUCGGAAUUACUGGGCGUAAAGCGCGCGUAGGCGGUCUGAUAAGCCGGUUGUGAAAGCCCCGGGCUCAACCUGGGAACGGCAUCCGGAACUGUCAGGCUAGAGUGCAGGAGAGGAAGGUAGAAUUCCCGGUGUAGCGGUGAAAGGCGUAGAGAUCGGGAGGAAUACCAGUGGGGAAGGCGGCCUUCUGGACUGACACUGACGCUGAGGUGCGAAAGCGUGGGUAGCAAACAGGAUUAGAUACCCUAGUAGUC